UACGAGGGGGGCAAGCGUUGUCCGGAUUUAUUGGGCGUAAAGAGCGUGUAGGCGGCCAUACAGGUCAGCUGUGAAAACUCGAGGCUCAACCUCGAGACGUCGGUUGAAACCGUAUGGCUAGAGUCCGGAAGAGGAGAGUGGAAUUCCCGGUGUAGCGGUGAAAUGCGCAGAUAUCGGGAAGAACACCCGUGGCGAAGGCGGCUCUCUGGGACGGUACUGACGCUGAGACGCGAAAGCGUGGGGAGCGAACGAGG
rnacentral:rRNA from 1 species